GCAGCCGCCACGGUAAUACGGAGGGAGCUAGCGUUGUUCGGAAUUACUGGGCGUAAAGCGCACGUAGGCGGCUUUGUAAGUCAGAGGUGAAAGCCUGGAGCUCAACUCCAGAACUGCCUUUGAGACUGCAUCGCUUGAAUCCAGGAGAGGUGAGUGGAAUUCCGAGUGUAGAGGUGAAAUUCGUAGAUAUUCGGAAGAACACCAGUGGCGAAGGCGGCUCACUGGACUGGUAUUGACGCUGAGGUGCGAAAGCGUGGGGAGCAAACAGGAUUAGAUACCCCAGUAGUCCCUGUCUCUUAUAC
rnacentral:rRNA from 1 species